UUGCAGAGCACAGGCUCAGUGGUUGCAACCCUCAGGCUUAGUUGCCCUGCAGCAGGUGCCCCUGGACCAGGGAUCGAACCCAGGUCCCCUGCAUUGGCAGGCAGAUUCCUAACCACUGAGCAACCAAGGAAGUCUACUCUGUAUUUUUUUGCCCUGUCACAUGUGCUUAUCCUUAAUGACUGUUCUUGCUCUCACUACUACAGCUCUUCCAUCUCUCUUCACGGUAAACCCCCAAUUAAUUAUUGGGAAAUUCCAAGUACAAGUUCAUGUGUACUGAUAAGCUCCCAGCUGCAAGUGACAAAAUUCCAACUCAAAUUGGCUUAAGUUAAAGGGGAGGUGGGUGUUUUGUUGACUGAAAAGUCCAGGAGUAUGUAAGUAGAGUUCAAGUAAGGCAGGACUUAGAGGCACAAACAAUGUCAGCUGAGUCCUAUUUUCCAUCUUUCAGUUAGGCUUUACGCACAUUUCAUGAUACAGGGUUUUGUUUUUUUGUUUUUUUUUUUUUUAGGCUACCAAGGGCAGUGGCCAGAGGCAGUUGCAUGCCAGAUAAACAGCACAAGUCCUCUAUAAAGCCCAACAUGAUGGCCUCCAUAUUCUUCCUCCUUUCCUGUAAAUGUGAGACUGUCACUAUUUGCCCUGCUCCUCUUCUGUAUAUGCAGGACUCUCGCCUCUGCUUCAGUUGCCCAAUGUGGGGCUCCCUACUGGGAGGUGAUGCCUUCAGGACACCAUCUUCUGGGGCAUCCUCAGUACUCUGAAGUCAGUACAUCCCAUAUCUGUGUAAGGAGAAGGAUUUUCUUGUCCUUUGAAGUUAUACUUGAUCACAAGGCUCUUAAUAUUUUGUUCUCAUAUAUGAAUAUCCUGGACUUCCUUGGUGGCUCAGUAGUAGAGAAUUUGCUUGAUCUGGGAAGAUCCUCUGCAGAAGGAAGUGGCAACCCACUCAAGUAUUUUUGCCUGAGAAAUUCCAUGGACAGAGGAGGCUGGCGGGCUACAGUCCAUGGGGUUGCAAAAGAGCCGGAUACAACUUAGCCACUGAACAACAACAACGUGAAGAUCCUACCAAUUUCCUUUUCUGAAAAUAGCUCAAGGAUUCAUACCUUUUUCAUCCCCAGACUCAAGAUAAUAAAUUCUCAUAAUGAAAGUGCAACCCUUUGCCUCCAUAUCCCCAUGUGCAUGCAUUCACCCAUAUAUCCAUCCAUCCAUCCAUCCAUCCAUCCACCUACCCAUCUACUGACUCAUUCACCAGUGUUGGUUUACUGUUGUCCCAAGCCUAUCUGCCACAUACUGUCUACACUUAUGAUGUUUGUAGGUGCCAGUUAAGGAUUCUCACCACUUUGAAAAAUGGUGGGAAUGGAAAUACUAUACAGGCUGCAUUUGAGAACCAGACUGCAAAGACAUUUCCUGAAGUGCUCUCUUCUGGAUUCUCCCUCGGGGCCAUGACAGCCGAUUCCUAGACUGAACAGAUUUGAUGGCCUAAGGACAACUUUGACCCCUUUGGGAUUCCUGCUGCCUCCUUGAAUUUUCUGGACAUCAUGUUUCUGCACGCCCUGCACCUAUCAGUGUGUGUGUGUUGGGUGGGGGGAAGUACUGAGGGUCUAGGCAGACCCACCAGCCACACUCAUGUCCCGGGAGAGCCCCAGGGAAGGAAACCCUCCCCGAGUUGGCCCAGAGUGGACAGCCCGAGCUUCCCCACGCUGACUGGCCACUUGCCAAGAGGGAGAAUGUUGUAAAGUGCAUCACACAGGUGCCCUCCGGAGGGUCUCUCACUCAGCACCCGCAUAACUUAUUCUUGCAUCUUCUUGGAACAUUGGGAUUAUAAAUGUAACCCAGAUGUGGGCUGCGUCCCUCUUCACCUUGGAGAUGUUGCUAUAAUUGGCUUGGACCUCAGCCAAUACCACAAGUUGGAAAGACCUAAAGCCCUCCAUUUGGAUCUCAACAAGUUCAAAGACCCCCUGUGGAUACUGCCUGACACCACCCCUUACUCCAUCCUCAAACCCCUGCCCGAUCCACAGGAAACCACCCAGAGCAGGCAACGGGCUCUGCUCUGCUACCUUUGUCUUCAGCUCCAAUCUACCUGGCAGCAAAGCUCAGGACUUUUUUUUUUCCCAGCUGCACCAAGCCAUAUGUGGACUCUUAGUUCCUCAACUAGGAAUUGAACCCACACCCUCUGCAUUAGAAGCUCAGAGUCUUAACCACUGGACCACCAGGGAAGUCCUGCCCAGCACUCUUUGAGUUUCCAUAAAGUUAAGGGUCCAUCGUGGCUGAGGAGGAAAGCACAGUUCUAUACAGAAGGUAGAAGAUGUCUGCAAGACCCUCUACUCAGGAACUUCUCAUGUGCAUUUCUUUGGAGUCCUGAUAGGGACCAUCAACAGAAAAUUUGUUCACACCAACAGACAAAGGUGAAAGUGAGAACGGAUUUCCAAAGCAGGCAAAUCCUUGGUAAUAAAGCAUUUCAGAACAAUGAUGAAACUUGAGUUAGCACAAGGCACAUGGGGUAUCAGGGGGCCACCUUGUAGCCAUCUGAGGCACCUGAAAGGAUGGUGAUGGCAGCCACCACUGGACAGAUGUAUUCGCUUAGAUGCAGACAGAGCUUCCUGCCUGACCUCCUCUGCAGCCCUGCCGCUCAACGCUCAGCAUCGUGGGCUGCACGCCCCUGGUGUAGCUGGCAGCUCCUGGAGCACCUUGUCUGCAAUGCAGAGUGACGCCCCCUGCAGCUGCUACUGAGAUAAACAUCAAGGAUGAGGGUGUCAGCACGUGGUCCAGCCCAAGUUAGGCCUCCCCACUCCCCGCUAUGGGACAAGAGUAUGACAUCAGUCUGGCUCUGCCAUGCUCUGAAGAGCCCUGGACAAAGCUACUCACAGUUCGAGUGGGUCUGGCUGCCUCAUGGCCAAAUGAACUGAUGUUUGGUGACACCUCUGCAGUUCAUUCGUAGCUCACCAACUGGGAAGUUCUAAAUUAAAUAGUGCUUAAGUAUGAAGGCUCCUGAGCCAGAUAGCCUGAACUGGAAUCCCAGUUUCUCCUCUACCCAGCUCU